rnacentral:rRNA from 1 species
GAUGAACGCUGGCGGCGUGCCUAAUACAUGCAAGUCGAGCGAACGGACGAGAAGCUUGCUUCUCUGAUGUUAGCGGCGGACGGGUAAGUAACACGUGGAUAACCUACCUAUAAGACUGGGAUAACUUCGGGAAACCGGAGCUAAUACCGGAUAAUAUUUUGAACCGCAUGGUUCAAAAGUGAAAGACGGUCUUGCUGUCACUUAUAGAUGGAUCCGCGCUGCAUUAGCUAGUUGGUAAGGUAACGGCUUACCAAGGCAACGAUGCAUAGCCGACCUGAGAGGGUGGUCGGCCACACUGGAACGGAGACACGGUCCAGACUCUGACGGGAGGACGCAGUAGGGAAUCUUCCGCAAUGGGGGAGAGCCUGACAGAGCAACGCCGCGGGAGUGAUGAAGGUCUUCGGAUCGUAAAGCUCUGUUGUUAGGGGAGAACAUAUGUGUAAGUAACUGUGCAGAUCUUGACGGUACCUAAUCAGAAAGCCACGGCUAACUACGUG